rnacentral:rRNA from 1 species
UAGGGAAUAUUGGUAAUCUGGGAAACCGUGAACCAGCAACGCCGCGUGCGCGAUGAAGGCCUUCGGGUUGUAAAGCGCUUUUUAAAGGGGUGAGGAAGGACAGUACCUUUAGAAUAAGCCUCGGCUAACUACGUGCCAGCAGCCGCGGUAAAACGUAGGAGGCGAGCGUUAUCCGGAUUUACUGGGCGUAAAGCGUGUGCAGGCGGUUUGAUAAGUUGGGUGUGAAAGCUCCUGGCUUAACCGGGAGAGGUCGUUCAAAACUAUCAGACUAGAGAGUGGUAGAGGGAGAUGGAAUUCCGCGUGUAGUGGUGAAAUGCGUAGAUAUGCGGAGGAACACCAGUGGCGAAAGCGGUCUCCUGGCCCAUUUCUGACGCUCAGACACGAAAGCUAAGGUAGCAAACGG